GAACUCGUAUUUGCUUUCUUUUUUCCUUUGUAAUUUUUCCAUGUUAAUAUUUAGUAGUUUUCUCUCCUUGACAGAACCGAGUACAUUUUAUUGUAGAUGGUGGGGGGCUUGUAGACUCGUAUGGGAUUGGAUUGUGAAGCCGGCGUGCGGAGAAUGCUGGGCUUAUCCGUACACGGCAGAUGGGAUAUUCCUAAUCCUAUCAAUCACGUGAUUAGACAGUGCGGUCAUGGUCUUGAAAGAGAUGUCCACCAUCCUUGAUUGAUGCUAUGAACACCUACCUUCUCCAAUUGGCGUGACUUGUCCACUUUCCGUCCAAAAUAUUUUUUUCAAUGCGUUACAAUUUUAAUUUCUUAAACGACAUUAUGGUAGGAUAUUCAUAAAAGGAUGCAGGGUUGCCCAAUACUUUGUAAUAAAUUUUGGCAUGGAAGAAUCUCAAGCUUAGCUGGGGAAUUUAUUUGCCUUGGACCCAUAAAGGAAUUGUUGAUUGAUUCCGUCUCGAGAUCCUCAAGGCUCUGAUAUGCCAGCCCACCUCUGAGCUUCUCCCUCGCCUUUUGGCCCCUUCAAAGAAGAAGCUUGUUUUGGUCCUUCUAACUCCAUCUCCCAACUGCCUUUUCCGUAUUUCUGAAACCCAAAUCAGGGGUUUAUGGCAAGUCUAUUUUUCCUUUAAAUCUUCUGUUCAGACACGCCCAACAAGAGAUUCCAAUGAUUCUAUAGACUAUAGCCCAGAAAGAUUCGAGGCUCUCGACCCACCGAAACCAACGCACGGGAUUCAAUACAAAGGCAUAAAGAUUUUAGCCUAUCCAAAUCGCAAAUGACGUCAAAUGAAAAUUUUUAAGACAAUAAGAUAAA
rnacentral:lncRNA from 1 species